rnacentral:rRNA from 1 species
AGUGAACGCUGGCGGUAGGCCUAACACAUGCAAGUCGAACGGCAGCACAGUAAGAGCUCGCUCUUACGGGUGGCGAGUGGCGGACGGGUGAGGAAUACAUCGGAAUCUACUUUUUCGUGGGGGAUAACGUAGGGAAACUUACGCUAAUACCGCAUACGAUCUACGGCAGAAAGCAGGGGAUCUUCGGACCUUGCGCGAUUGAAUGAGACGAUGCCGCAUUAGCUAGUUGGCGGGGUAAGGGCCCACCAAGGCGACGAUCCGUAGCUGGUCUGAGAGGAUGAUCAGCCACACUGGAACUGAGACACGGUCCAGACUCCUACGGGAGGCAGCAGUGGGGAAUAUUCGACAAUGGGCGCAAGCCUGAUCCAGCCAUACCGCGUGAGUGAAGAAGGCCUUCGGGUUGUAAAGCCCUUUUGUUGGGAAAGAAAAGCAGCAGGUUAAUACCCCGCUGUUCUGACGGUACCCAAAGAAUAAGCACCGGCUAACUUCGUG